rnacentral:rRNA from 1 species
UACGUAGGGUGCAAGCGUUUAAUCGGAAUACUGGGCGUAAAGCGUGCGCAGGCGGUGAUGUAAGACAGUUGUGAAAUCCCCGGGCUCAACCUGGGAACUGCAUCUGUGACUGCAUCGCUGGAGUGCGGCAGAGGGGGAUGGAAUUCCACGUGUAGCAGUGAAAUGCGUAGAGAUGUGGAGGAACACCGAUGGCGAAGGCAGCCCCCUGGGCCAAUACUGACGCUCAUGCACGAAAGCGUGGGGAGCAAACAGGAUUAGACUACCGU